GACGAACGCUGGCGGCGUGCCUAAUACAUGCAAGUAGAACGCUGAAGGAGGAGCUUGCUUCUCUGGAUGAGUUGCGAACGGGUGAGUAACGCGUAGGUAACCUGCCUGGUGCGGGGGAUAACUAUUGGAAACGAUAGCUAAUACCGCAUAAUAGUAGAUGUUGCAUGACAUUUACUUAAAAGGUGCAAUUGCAUCACUACCAGAUGGACCUGCGUUGUAUUAGCUAGUUGGUGGGGUAACGGCUCACCAAGGCGACGAUACAUAGCCGACCUGAGAGGGUGAUCGGCCACACUGGGACUGAGACACGGCCCAGACUCCUACGGGAGGCAGCAGUAGGGAAUCUUCGGCAAUGGACGAAAGUCUGACCGAGCAACGCCGCGUGAGUGAAGAAGGUUUUCGGAUCGUAAAGCUCUGUUGUAAGAGAAGAACGAGUGUGAGAGUGGAAAGUUCACACUGUGACGGUAGCUUACCAGAAAGGGACGGCUAACUACGUG
rnacentral:rRNA from 1 species